rnacentral:lncRNA from 1 species
ACUAUCAUGCUCUAACACUAACAAUCUGUAGAAAAUGUCAAUUCUGACGCAAUCUCACUCGGGACUGUAACCGUACCCGUCUCAGGGACUGUGAAAACACCCGUCCCGCCUGUCGAAGCUAAAGCUACCUCCACACUAAGCAGUCAGUGGAUAGCAAGUCCAAACAGGACACCUCGACAUCAACGCAGAAGCACUAAGCCCGACUCCGGAGUGGCACUCGUGGGCGCUACUCAACCGAGUAUGCAAGCGUAUCUCUGUCGAGCUCAAUCAGGCUCUCGGAGACUAUAGUCAAGUAUACCGGGUCCAACUGGUCUAACAACCAACGAGUCACGUGCCCUCGACACAAUUUGAUGCCAAAACGGCAAUCUGAGUCCACCAUCAAUCCCGACCGCCCCCAACAGUCCGGAACAGGCUCGGCAUCCCAGCACGAGCUUAACAGCAAUCUACACUAUCUGAGGUAUCCACCACACUGAUACUGCGGCGAUACUAAAUAACAGCGGCUCCUAAAGCUAAAUCUAAUAGUGUAAGCAUAUAACGGGUCAGAAUCGCGGAUUUUUUCCUAAGCCAAAUCCAAGUCCGCAUGUAUAAGUCAUCCACCAAUAAUAUUAUGCUCCAAAUUCAGUUUAUAUGUCAAAGACAUGAACAAUCCACGAAUUCGAGCUAUCACACAUGAAAUGCAUAACAAAAAAUAUACAUGCCGUUAACCGAGACUUUAGGAGUAGAAAUCCGAUGUUAAACCCACCUCAAAAGCUAAUCCAACUCCGGCGCGACGUCGAGAAUGGCGGAAUCGCACCCUCGCCGGACCUCCUCGCGAUGCUACGGCAACAAACGUGCGCUCGAACGGCUCCGCGACGCGACGUCGGUGACGAAACACUCUACCCGAGCUCCUCCUUGCUCGGCCGAUGCUAGAGAGAGAGGGAAGAAGAAACACAUUAACCUUCUUUCUCAGCUCCUCUCAAUCCUAUAUAAGCGAUGGAGGGAAGUGGUGAUGUGAACGAGGCACGAAAUGACCAAAACACCCUCUCACCUACCCUGGUGUACCGGUACACGAGCAAGUGUACUGGUAGAAAUGGCAACUCGAGAGCAGCUGCGCAAAAUCUGUCGAAGUGUAGCGGUACACCCCUGAUGUUGUACCGGUACAGAAAGUGUACCGGUACACCUUGAUGGUUGUACCGGUACAACAAGCAGAAAAUCUGCUGUUUGCAGAUUCCAAUGCCAAGUCCUGCUCUCGCGUCCCCGCUGAGUCCGUUUUGCGUCUAUUUCGCGCCAACGUGACUCGUACUUGUCCCGACACUCUCCAGAGCUGUCGACAAGCCUCUUUUGCUGAACACCAGGGAUACCACAUCCUCCCCCACUAUAAAAAGUUUCGUCCUCGAAACUUAAACAUACCUCAGCCCUGGGCAUCGAACAGAUAGGGAUAGGACUCCCUCAUCACCGUCUCAGGCUCCCAAGUCGCCUCCCGCUCCUCGUGAUUACUCUACUGUACUUUUAUAUACGGGAUGACCCGAUUCUUUCGUCUCCCGAGCAAGAAUCCGCAGCGGUCGCUCCUCGUAUCUCAGAUCCUUGCCAAUCUCUAGUUGAGUGAAGUCGAUCACGUGAGAAAGAUCGAACACAUAUCUCCUCAAUGCCGAGAUGUGGAAGACAUCGUGGAUACCGGCUAGUCGAGGAGGUAGAGCAAUCCUAUAAGCAACCGGUCCUACUCGCUCCAAUACCUCAAAAGGGCCAACGAAACGUGGACUGAGCUUUCCACGUACUCCGAAUCUACGAAUCCCUCUGGAUGGUGAGACUUUGAGAAAAACAUGAUAUUCAACCUGGAACUCUAAGUCUCGUCUCCUGGUAUCGGCGUAGCUCUUCUGGAGGCUCUGGGCUGUUAAAAGGUGUCGUCGAACAAUGAAAGUUUUGAGGAGCCCAAGGAUCUAUCUAGGUUGUAUCUAUCACCUAGAGGGGGGUGAAUAGGUGAACUAUAAUUAUACAGCUAAACUAGAGGCGAAGCGAACCUCAAGAGAAGGAACCAAAAGAUGCUAUGAGGAUUCGCUUCCUAGUGGUAUUAGUACUACGAGAAGUACUUGCCGCAGCACCUAAGCCGCACUUGUUUCCGCCAAGCACCUAAGCCUAGCAACCGAGCACCUAAGCUCACCGCAGCACCUAAGCCGCACUAACUUCGAAGCACCUAAGCUUCACCUCCGCAAGCACCUAAGCCUGCACUCCCGCACCUGUUGGGCCUCCCAUCGCGCUUCUAAGUAUCCUCCAAUUCUCUCCAAUUCAAGCACCUCAGCCAUUAGUGGAACAUUAGAAAAGAAAAUCACUUAACAAAAAGCGCACAACCAGGGCACCCAAAAAGAGGUUCAACCUCAAAGGGGUGCAUUUAGAGCCACACGAAAAAUAAAAGGCGUAAAUAAAAAUAACGUAGCUCUAAACACCAAAAACCGGCNUUUGAUGAAAUCUGAGCCUCUAGGGUUUCUCAAUUAUGUAUUCUUGUGAUGCUUAAUCAAUUAGAGAACCCCUAUAGCUUAUUUAUAGACUUUAGAAUCAAAACAGAGUAGGAUUAGAAAGUUUCUUUCCAAAAUCAGCACCUUGUACCGGAACAAGGAAUGUUGUCCAGGGUACAGCAUGACGGAAGAUUUUUCUGCGAAGCUCCUGUACCCUGGAUAGGCUGUUGCUUGUUCCGGAACAGGGCUUGUACCGGUACAGCAUGAAGCUUGUACCGGAACAACCAUCAAACUUUCUGCGCAACGUUGAUGGCUGUACCCUGGACAGAAAAUCCUUGUACCGGUACAGCAAUGCAAUUUUCGCUGAAACUGCAUUGUUUUGGAUUUUACAAACUCUUAGAAACUUUCUUAAUCAAUUACAACUUGAAAACAUGAUUCUAAGAUCUAUAAUUAAGUAUGAAUCACCAUAAACAAGAUUUAAAGCUUACCUACGCAUUGUGAUUCAUGUUUUACGUGUUUUGCAUCCUUUCCGAUUCUUCGAAGUCUUGGAUUGUUCGAUCUUCAAUACUCCGCUCCGAACUUCUUCAAGACUCCGACUCGACCCACGAAACUUGCCAACACAUAGGACCUAACAAACAAUUCUUAUCUUUUCCUCAGUCUCAAGCAAGAUCUCAGGCCCUAGUGUCCUCCUCUCACCUACAUCACUCCAAAACAAAGGGGAUCGACAUCUGCGUCCAUACAACGCCUCAAAUGGAGCCAUCUGGAUGCUUGUUUGAUAGCUGUUGUUGUACGCAAACUAGCCAGUCUCAAAUGUCGAUACCACCCUCUUCCAAAAUUCAGGAUGCAUGCCCUCAGCAUGUCCUCCAGAGUCUGUAUGGUCCUCUCUGACUGACUAUCUGUCUGUGGGUGAAACGCCGUGCUGAAAUGCAGCUGUGUACCCAAGGCUGUCUGAAGACUCCGCCAAAAGUGUGAAACAAACCUCGGGUCCCUGUCCGAUACAAUCGAUAUCGGCACACCAUGCAGCCUGACGAUCUCAUCCAAGUAUAACUGCGCGAGUCUCUCUUUGGACCAGGUGGUCUGAACUGGUAGGAAGUGAGCAGACUUAGUCAGUCUGUCCACUAUCACCCAAAUAGCAUCGAAACCACCCUGUGCUCUAGGCAACCCCACGACGAAAUCCAUUGUGAUCUGCUCCCAUUUCCACUCGACCACUGACAGACUUUGCAGCUUGCCAGCAGGUACCUGAUGCUCUGCCUUUACCUGUUGGCAAGUCAAACAAUGAGCCAUAUAUCUGCCAAUGUCUCUCUUCAUUCCAUUCCACCAAAAAUGUGCCUUUAAAUCCUUAUGCAUCUUAGUUCCACCAAGGUGAACUGUGUAAGGUGAAUAAUGAGUCUCUCUCAAAAUAUCCUCUCGAAUCUCAAAAUUCAUAGGCACACACAGUCGGUACCUAUAUCAUAGUACUCCCAAACUGUCCACAACAAAACCCUCUGCCUGUCCCGUAUCCAACUGCUCUCGAAUCCUCAACAAGUGUGGGUCUCCACUCUGUUUCUCUCGGAUCCUAUCCAACAGAGUGGGCUGCAAGACCAUAGACAUCAGUCUUGCAGUAGGCCCCGGGGACACAAUUUCGAUCCUCAACCGCUGCAGUUCCUCGAGUAACGGUCUCUGCUGUGUGAUCAUCAAACUCAAGCUCUGCACUGCCUUCCUGCUCAACGCAUCUGCCACCACAUUCGCCUUGUCGGAAUGAUACUGAAUACUAAUGUCAUAGUCCUUCAGUAACUCCAACCAUCAGCAUUGCCUCAAGUUCAACUCCCUCUGGGUGAGCAGAUACUUGAGACUUUUAUGAUCAGUGAAAACCUCACAAUGCUCGCCGUACAAGUAAUGACGCCACAACUUCAAAGCAAAGACUACCGCGGCAAGCUCCAAGUCAUGCGUAAGUAAUUCUUCUCAUAAUCCUUUAACUGUCGUGAAGCAUAAGCAAUUACCCUACCAUGCUGCAUCAGCACACAGCCCAGCCCGCUGUGCGAUGCAUCACUGUAAAUCACAAAUCCUUUCCCCAUCACAGGUAGGGCAAGAAUAGAAGCUGACGUCAACCUCUGUCUCAACUCAUCAAAGCUCCUCUGAUAAUCCUCACUCCAGAUGAACCGAACCCUCUUUCGAGUCAAUCGAGUGAGGGGUGUGGAAAGCUUCGCAAAGCCUUCCACAAACCGACGGUAAUAACCAGCAAGUUCCAGAAAACUCCUCACCUCUGUCACCGUCGUCGAUCUGGGCCAAUCCCGAAUAGCAUCGAUCUUCUUCGGGUCCACUGCUACUCCCUCUGCAGAAAUCACGUGGCCCAAGAAAACAACCUCCCACAACCAGAACUCGCACUUCUUUAACUUGGCAUACAACUUCUUCUCUCGCAGAAGUUGUAGCACAGUCCUCAAGUGCUCCUCAUGCUCGGCAUCACUCCGGGAGUAUAUCAAAAUAUCGUCGAUGAAGACUACUACAAAUCUAUCCAAGAACGGCUUGAACACUCUGUUCAUCAAAUCCAUAAAUGCAGCAGGAGCAUUCGUCAAUCCAAAAGGCAUCACCGUAAACUCAUAAUGCCCAUACCAAGUCCGAAAAGCCGUCUUGGGAACAUCCUCGGCCCUCACCCUCAGCUGGUGGUAACCUGACUGGAGGUCAAUUUUCGAGAAGACACAAGAUCCUUGCAGUUUAUCAAACAGAUCAUCAAUGCGCAGCAAAGGAUACUUGUUCUUGAUGGUCACUUUAUUCAGCUCCCGAUAAUCCACACAUAACCUGAGCGAACCAUUCUUUUUCUUUACAAAUAACACCAGCGCUUCCCAAGGUGACACACUGGGUCUCACAUACCCCGUACCCAUCAGAUCCUAAAGCUGUGCCUUUAGCUCUCUCAGCUCCGCUGGUGCCAUCCGAUACGGUACCUUUGAGAUUGGUGCAGUUCCAAGAACUACAUCAAUCACGAACUCAAUCUCCCUCUCCGGCGGCAUCGUCAUCAACUCUAGGGGAAACACAUCUGGAAACUUGCGGACUACAGGAAUAUCCUCGAGUCCCGGCGCCGCCGUAGAUACCUCUACAACAGUUACUAGAAAUGCCACACAUCCUCUACUCAUCAUCUGUCGAGCACUCGUUGAAGAUAUCCAAGUGGCAAACAACGUGCUCCUGCAGCCCCUAAAAGUGAACUCCUCCUGGCCUGGCUCGCGGAACGUCACCAUCCUCGCUCCACAAUUAAUAGUAGCAUAGUACCGCGCCAGCCAGUCCAUACCGAGCACAACGUCAAAGUCCUGCAGCUGCCCUAACACCAACAGGUCUGCGGGCAUGAUCCACGAAUCCAACUGCACCGAACAUGACCAACAACACUCUGCAACCUAUAACACAUGGUCGGGGAUCUGCACCUCUCGUGCCUGUGACAACGCCCCUAACUCUAGACCAUGCAACAAUGCAAAUGCUCGGCUAACAAAGAAAUGUGAUGCACCGGUAUCAAAUAGAGUGCGAACUCUAAUGCCAUAAAUCAAAGUAAUACCUCCCACUACUCGGUCGGCUGCUGUAGAGUCCUCCACCUGGGCUGCAUAGAACCGCCCACUCGGCGCCUGCUGCCUCCGCUCACUCUGACGGGGCAUGGACGAUCUAUCCUCCUGGCGGAAACUCCGAGCUGCUCCAAAAGAUUGCGGAGGUCCUGGCUGUGCUGAUGUGAUCGAUGGUGCUUGUGAUGCUGCUCGAGGACAAGCUGAUCUCAUAUGCCCGGGCAGUCCGCAACUGUAACACCUGCCCUCUCUCUGCUCGCACUGCUGGAGCCAGUGGGGUCCCCCGCAGAUCACACACUACGGUAUCCUUGGUGACUGUCCCUGCUGACAGGGUCCCCCAGAAUGCUGACGCCCUGAAGACCCACGACCCUGAGAGCGCGAUCGGGGUGGUCUCGGCGGACGCCUACUGCUCGACGGUCCUGCAUCAUUUAGAAAGGGGCGCUUCCGGUCUUGACUCUGCCUCACUGCCUGAGUCCUCUCCUGAAGCGACACCUCAUCUCUCUCCACCCAUAAGGCCUGCUCUAUGGAUGCAGCCAGGGUUCUCGACCUCUGCGCCCGCACAAACCUGAAGAUGUCGGGUCUCAGCCCCUGCUCAAAUAGAUAAACCCUGUGUGCCUCGUCCCUGGCCACAAAUGGCACAUAGUUCAGGAGUCGAGUAAACUCCCGAAUGUACUCCUGCACUGGCCGAUCCCCCUGCUGAAUCCUCUUCAAAUCCUCCUCGAGCUUCUAUUUCACACUGUUGGGAAAAUACAUCCCAAACAGCAUUCCACAGAACUCAUCCCAUCUCAUCUGCAACGCUACCAAUCCCUGAUCUCGCCUCACUCUCCUCCACAAGGCGUGUGCAUCGCCUGCCACGCAAUGGCCUCCCAACGAUACCUGCUCCCACUCAGGAAUGAACAGAUCCUCAAAAAGCUUCUCCAUCGCACUGACCCAUCCCUCAACGACCCAGGCCCCAGUGCCACUGCAAUCGAAGGUCGACGGAUCAAAACGGCGAAAACGAGCCAGCCUCUCGGUCAUCCGCUCCCGCUCGGCCUCGGUCAACUGUCCUGGCCCUCUAGAAGGCGCAACCGGCGCUGCGAGAAUAUCCAUAAGCGGGGGUACAGCUGCGGUUGGUGCUGCAGCUGAAGUAGUCGGAGGUGGAACAACCGACUCUGGUGCUCUCGGUACUGUACUCGGUGGCGGAGCUACCCUCUCGCACAACCUCUCCAACAACUCCCCCUGUCGCCUCGUCACCUCAGUCAGGGCGGCUAUCUGUGCACUCAUGUCAGGGGAUGCACUCGCCUCCGGUCGAACACUCUGCUCCACAACAGGAGGUACACUCGGCUCCGCCUGCUCCAGCAUCUCGGAAGGUCCUGCACGAUCCUGUGUCAACUGGGCACGCUUCCGCAACGACGGUCGACCUCGGCGAUGAUACUGUGAGAAACAAAACAGGGUCAGCAACUCAAGCACUCUCGACCGAAUCAACGAAAGUCUGGAAUGCGGCCCCUGUUUCUCCUCAAAAUUAUGUCGUCUGCAGCCAACAUAAUUUCUCUGGAACGAAACAGACACUCCUUCAAUCACUCACUCCACUCUAGGAGGAGUUAAAUAAUUAAUCAUUGACUUUCGCUAUAAAUCACGCCUCUCGCAUCUUGCUUUCCUAAGGUUUGCCAAACUUAGGUUUCCUAGGUCCCAACGACCUAAUGCUAAGCUCUGAUACCAACUUAAUCUGUCACGCCCCGGAUUACUCGUUUCCCCGGGCACGCCAACAAACCCGCCGUAUACAUAGAAAUUUUUUUUGUACACGAAGCGAAGCUGUAACUGUACCUGUAAUAAUACAACACUACAACCAGUAGUAUAGAGCUGCUAGGAAAAAUAAACAUGGGUAUAUAAUAAAAAUGGAUCAGUACAUACACAGUGUCCUGGUACAAAAACACUCGCUCCAGCGAGGUAUAACAUCAGUAUGUAAUGAAUCAAAAACUACAACUACCUGUAGCUGGUACUCCACUAGCUCUGGCUCGUCUGGUAGGGCUCUAACUCGCGACGCCCUUACCACGAUCAGGAUCAGUAGCAGCCGACGAUGACGGCUCUGCAAAACGAAAAGGAACAACUGGGCGUGAGAACUACUAUAAAAACAAGUAGUCCUCAGUGGGUGCCGCCCUCAACAUCAUCGGUCCACCCACUAAGUCUACAGAAGGGAGCUGGGAUAGUACAUAAUGCUGGAACAAAAUCUACAGCUAAGAACCAUCAUACUAUCAUGCUCUAACACUAACAAUCUGUAGAAAAUGUCAAUCCUAAAGCAAUAUCACUCGGGACUGUAACCGUACCCGUCUCAGGGACUGUGAACACACUCGUCCCGCCUGUCGAAGCUAAAACUAUCUCCACACUAAGCAGUCAGUGGAUAGCAAGUCCAAACAGGACACCUCGACAUUAACGCAGAAGCACUAAGCCCGACUCCGGAGUGGCACUCGUAGGCGCUACCCAACCGAGAAUGCAAGCGUAUCUCUGUCGAGC